CAUCCAGGCACCUCAGACUGGAAGGCUACACAAAAUUUGGGACCUGACUAUGCAUCAGUAAUCAAGUUGUGAAUGUGCCAAGAACCUCUGUUGUUUUCUGCCAAGAAGGUCAAAGGCUGUUCUACUGUGCAAAUAUUCACUUUAACAGACUGCACAGCUCAACAAUGACUUUUCUCAGCACGCAAUUCAAGAAACUGAAGCAGUUAAUUCCACUUCCCCCCUAAAGACAUCAGCCCUAAAAAUGACUGAAACUUCAUUUUGUUUCUUCUUUCACUAAUCAUGUUGCAUGAAAUGAUUUUGAAAGAGUCGCUCUACGUGGUGCUCCUUCCCUAAGCUCUUGUCAAGGCCCUAUCAGUGUUAGAAGCAGACAGAAGCUGGAGGGAUUUCGUCCUGGUUCGUACCCAGAUGGGAGACCACCAGACAAUUCCAGAAUUCACUAGCAUUCAACAUCUACCGAGCGAAAAAACUGCAAGGAUCGGAUUCUCCCACAGUGCAUCCAUGUAAGCCACCCAACAAUGAUGGCUUGUAAUAGGGGCACUGGGCUUUGCUGCCACAUUAUUUGAACAAGUGGAAACUCAGCCUGCUGUGUAAUUAAUCCAGGGCUGAAUAAUGAAUUGCAGUUCCCAUGCCUGUAAGGGGACACUGACCUGAACCAGCAAAACCUGUCAUGCCCCCAACAGUUCAAAACUUUCAUAUUUUCUCAUGGAUGCAGUAUCACACCAUUUAGCAUCCAACUGUUACAUUUAUAGAAUUGUAUAUUUGAUCAGUCCCUUAAUCUAGUUCAACAAUCAGAUGGAACAAUAGGAAAAAUCAUUUAAUAUUAAAUAAAAGAUUUUUCUCUUAA